AUUGAACGCUAGCGGGAUGCCUUACACAUGCAAGUCGAACGGAGUGGCGAACGGGUGAGUAAUGUAUCGGAACGUGCCCAGUAGCGGGGGAUAACUACGCGAAAGCGUAGCUAAUACCGCAUACUAUUUGAGCGGACGAUAUCGGAUUAGCUAGUUGGUGGGGUAAAGGCUAACCAAGGCAACGAGCCGUAGCUGGUUUGAGAGGACGAACAGCCACACUGGGACUGGGACACGGCCCAGACUCCUACGGGAGGCAGCAGUGGGGAAUGUUGGACAAUGGGGGAAACCCUGAUGCAGCCAUGCAGCGUGUAUGAAGAAGGCCUUAGGUUUGUAAAGUACUUUCAGCGGGGAGGCGUUACCCGCAGAAGAAGCACCGGCUAACUCCGUGCCAGCAGCCGCGGUAAUAC
rnacentral:rRNA from 1 species